rnacentral:tRNA from 8 species
AAGGCUUUAGCUUAAUUAAAGUGUCUGCUUUGCAUGCAGAAGAUGUGGGUUAGUGUCCUGCAAGUCUUA